AUAUUAACUUGAAUUUUAGUCCCUUCUGAUUGCGUUGACUCAAAAGUAGAUAUUGGAGUUUAGUUGUGUCGUGAAGCUGACUCUUAAUAAGUUUUAUACACAUGAAGUCCCAUUUGUCCCAUAUUUUGAACGCAGCAUCCGCCCCGGUAGGCGGGGCCUGCUGCUGAACACAGUCACAUGACCUGCCCCGAUCCAGGCUGACCAAUUCCAAUAUGGUGGCCAGCUUGGCAGGUCUACGGUUCUUGUUGAUGAUAUUGUUGUCGUGCGGGAUCAGGUUGGGCUCCUGCAGCCAGGGAGCCCCGCUCGUCCUGGGCCUGCGCCUGGAGGAGCCGGCGGCUCGGGUGUACAGGAAGGGUCGGAUCAUCUCGGCGCCAGAAGGAGCGACGUUCAGGCUGCGUCUCUUCGGGACCGACCUGAAUAAACAGACCUGGCCGUGGCUAGCUUUCGCUGGGGAACCCGGAGGGGGUGUCGUGGACCCCUGCGAGGAGGAGUCCAACCGGCAGACUGCUGCUUUCUGGGUGAAGGAGCCGUUCAGCCGGGAUGAGGAGUACGGCGGGCUGCUGACGGUGGUCAGCAGCCCGGAGGGCAACGAGCAGAUCCUCUAUCAUCUGUGUGUGCUGAGCGGGGAGAAGUGGACCUCAGUGGGCCCGGAUAGGCUGCGCAUCAACACGGACAAGGCUCUGCCCGCGGACUACAUCCCAACGUGGGGCCUGGCUGUGCUCAUCGCGCUGCUGCUGCUCGUCUGCGGGCUGCUGAGGACAGUCAACCUGAGCCUCCUCUGGCUCGACCCUGUGGAGCUUUAUGUCCUCCACAGCUGCGGUUCCGAGGAGGAGAAGCAGGCCGCCAAACGUCUGGAGCCCAUCAGAAGAAGAGGGAACUUUCUGGCCUGCUCUCUGCUCUUCCUGUGCGUCCUGGGUCACUCGGUUGUGGGCGUGCUUCUCUUUCGAGCCCUGGGCUCCAUCGCGUCAGCCGUCUUCACCAGCGCCGUCCUCCUCUUCUUCCUGGCGGAGCUGCUGCCUCACAUCGUGUGCUCGGGUUACGGCUUCCAGAUGGCACCGGGCCUCACCUGGCUGGCCCAGGUGUGCAUGGUGCUCAGCUGCCCCCUUUCCUGCCCCCUGGGCCUGGUCCUGGACCUGGCGCUCCGGCGGGACAUCAGCACCUGCGGCAUCAGGGAGAGGGCCAUGGAGAUGAUCCGCACCAGCGUCAACGACCCGUACAGCGAGUUUGUGAAGGAGGAGUUCAGCCGCGGGACGCUGCGCAGUAAGACGGUGGAGGACAUCUUGACGCCCCUGAAGGACUGUUUCAUGCUGCCCAGCUCCACCCUGCUGGACUUCUCCACUAUGUCAGACAUCAUGCAGAGCGGAUACACGCGUGUGCCCAUCUACGAUGAGGAGAGGUCCAACAUUGUGGAGAUCCUCUACGUCAAGGACUUGGCUCUGGUGGACCCAGACGACUCCACCCCCAUGACCACCAUCACCAAGUUCUACAACCACCCGCUGCACUUCGUCUUCAAUGACACCAAACUGGAUGCUAUGUUGGAGGAGUUCAAGAAAGGCAACUCUCACAUGGCCAUCGUCCAGAAGGUCAACAACGAGGGGGAGGGCGACCCCUUCUAUGAGGUUCUGGGCUUGGUGACUUUGGAGGACGUGAUCGAAGAGAUCAUCAAGUCUGAGAUCUUGGACGAGUCAGACGGUUACUUGGACAGGAAGGUCAAGCGUCCUCUGGCGCCGAUGGAGAUCCCCCUCGAGCCUCGCGGCGCCCCCGAGGAGUUCUCCCUCUUCAAGCCUCCCGAGGGAGAACCCAAGAUCCGAACGUCGCCGCAGCUCCUGCUGGCCACUCACCGUUUCAUGUCCAGAGAGGUGGAGCACUUCAGCCCGCUGCGCGUGUCUGAGAAGGUCCUCUUCCACUUGCUGCGCCACCCCAGCGUCAACCAGGAGGUGCACUUUGACCCCGGCAACCGCCUGAGCCCUGCCCACUACCUGUACACGCGCAACCACCCGGUGGACUAUUUCAUCCUGCUGCUGCAGGGUCGCGUGGAGGUGGAGAUCGGCAAAGAGGGGCUCAAGUUUGAGAACGGGGCGUUUACGUACUACGGCGUGUCUGCGCUUACGCUGCCAUCCUCAGUGCACCAGUCUCCAGUGUCAACUCAGCACCAGUCUCCCAGAGAUCCGUUCGACUUGUCAGAGACGACCAGCCCGUCUAGUUACUGUCCAGACUACACCGUCAGAGCGCUCACCGACCUGCAGCUGAUUCGGGUGACACGCCUCCAGUACCUGAAUGCUCUGAUGGCGUCACGGGCCGGCCCCGGUGCAGACCCGCCUGAGAUCAAGAUCCUCCCCAACAGUCACACCAAACUGCUCAACGACAGGAACGCCGCCACACAAGACUUCAGCCUGUCUUUCUUUGACACCAUAGACAACUACUGUUAGUGCGUCUGUGCACAAGGUGACGGCUGCGGCACGCUCGAGAGCUCCACAGAAGAAGAAGCUCGAGCGUAGUGACUGCUCUCCAUUCCUUCUUGAUGUUGUAAUUAUCAUUAGCAUUAUUAUUAUUAGUAUGUUUUAUAAACACUGUGUGUAGACAUUAUUUACUUGGAUUUUAUGUGGGCAGUGCCUUUCUUCCACUUCAGCAUUGCCAUUUGUCGCUUUUUCUGUGCCAGUGCACGUGUGUGUGCAUGCGUGCGUGCGUGGUGUGUGCACUGUGACACUUGCAAGGCGCUCGUCACGCUAGAUGGUCACAUGACCUUUUGGGCUCGUUUCCACAAUUACAAAGCGGCGACGAGUCUUUCUUGGCGACAUGUGAAAGAGUUCAUGAGGAGCGCCAACAAGAGUCAUUGUCCAACAUCCUAAUGAAGCAUUGCAGUGCUCCUUCUUAAAGGAGGACUUUAACACCGUUGUUUGUCAUUCUUAAGAAGCUAGCUAGCUAGUGUAGCAACUUUAUUGUGUAUUUCAAAUGUUUUCUUCACAACACAAACCUUUUUUUGCUGUUUGAAUGUGCCGCAGAGCUGCUUUCACUUUAACAAUUGUAAAUUCCAAGACUUGAAGUCCAGAAGAAAUAUUACAAUGGAAGAAUUCCUGCUCUCUUUUUCUAACUGGAAUGUGGUCACACUCCUUCACGAUUCAUCUGAAAGCAGCUGGAGCCUUGUCCUGUUGACUUUUGUCUUUCUGUCAAUAUGACAUCAUUAGCAUGCUAGCAUGCUAACAUGCGUGAUGAGCUUCACUGGCUUUGACUGACACGUGCACACGUUGUGCUCCAAAUAUUGACUUUUAGAAAUGACCAGCUGAUAUUAUACUGUACUUUAUCAAGUGUGUGGUAGCAAGGCUUGUUGAGCUAAUUUCCCGUCCUGGAAGUUAGCGUGCAGGUUUAUGUUGUUUGAAUUCCAUUUACCAGAACAACAAAAUAAGUGCUGUAGAGUAGACAUGACCCAUACAUACUGUAACCCUAUGUGCCAAUCCUACAGAAUAUUCAUUGAGUUCCUUGCCUUUGGAAGGCAAUACCAAUGCUUCCAUUUGUCAUAGAUCAUAAGUUUUUGUGACAGCAAACCUAAUAAUAUCCUCAAAUAAAGCAGCUAACAGGUGAGUUUGCGAAGCUAAUCUAAGAUUGGACACUCAUCGUUUGAGAAGGCGGUUUUAGUGUACUUCAGUAACUUUCAGUGUUUUAUUAAGAACAUCAAAACCUUCUGUUGUGUUAUUUGCUGCCCGUGAGGUUACAUGAAAGAAAUGAACGAGAUCAGUGUGCACGCUUGUUAGCGUGUGUGAUUAGCAUCGGGCUAGUUCAGUCUUUUCAUUCCAUUUGAUUAGGGUAUUAUUGGCAUUUUCAUUCUAAGCAGUCAUUUUUGUACGUACAGUAUCUAUAAAAGAUGAAUGUAAAAACACCACGACAAUGAAGUGAUGGCAGAGUUGAAGUAUUAAUGUAAAAUUGCUUCGGUGACCUUCAUAGUUUUUAGGUACAACAUUAUUUGAACUUAAAUCACUUCCUCUUGUUUGAGGGUUCAACUUUUAUAGUUUGUAAUCAAGAGGAGCACCAUUCUAUGAAAUACUUUCAAGAACUCUGUUUUACUAGCAAAUAAACUCAAUCCUGUUGUAAACGCCUGUGCUUUUAUUUGAUUGCGUUCCUAUCGUUCAUCAUCAGAAACUAGUCAACAUUUUAUGAGGAUUAAGUUCACUUGUGCCGUGUGCUAAUCUGCUUUUCUGUACAUUACUUUUAUGUAGCAGCGCCUCCUACCGUCCGACACAGUCAAAUUGUGUCGGACGGUAGAGUCUCAUGGCGGCGGAAGUGGCGCUCCGCUUGUUGCAGUAAGAUGGCUAGUUUGUGUUUGACCGAGGUUGGAUUCUCCCUUGGGCAUUUCUGUGUGGAGUUUGCAUGUUCUCCCCGUGUGUGGGGGGGUGGGGGGGUUCUCCGGGUACUCCGGUUUCCUCCCACAUUCCAAAAACAUGCAUGUUAGCUUCAUUGGAGACUCUAAAUGGUCCAUAGGUAUGAAUGUGAGUGUUUGUCUAUGUGUGCCACUGAACUCUAUAACUGCAAUGGCCCCGAUCGCUUGCUGCGCAUUGGAGGCUUGAAGCCACCGGAAGUAUAGAAGUCGCCAUGUUGUUUCACCCAAAACAAGAAAGUUUAACAACUAAGAGGAGUUGGAGAUGCCGUCUUGUGCUGCUAUUAAUUGCACAAAUCGUGAUACUCGUGAAAAUCGCAAGAAGGGACUUACAUUUCACAGAGUUCCACACUGCAAUGUUCAACUUCUAAAGCAAUGGGUAGUAAAUAUGCGGAGAGACAGGUGGAUUCCUGCAGCCAGAUCGCAACUCUGUUCAAGUCAUUUCACCGAGGAGAACUUGGACAGGACCGGCCAGACUGUUAGAUUACGACAAAAUGCAGUUCCAACAUUUGACUUUCCUGAUCAUCUUCUAAAGGUAUGCUAGCAUUUAACUUUGAUACUACGUAGAUCCUUAUCAUAACAAAUACCUUGUGAACACUGAAACUGACCUGUUAUGCAUUGUAAUUUCACACCAUAGAGGUAGGAAAAAACUUCAACUGGAGGGACAUUUUGAGAUUUGGGUCUUGUAAAUUUACUCUUUUUCAAUGGAAUUUUUGUUAAUUCGUGUUAAUUUUUAUACCGAAACAUAAUAAAUGUAGUGAAUGAAGAUACAUGUAUGUGUAUGCGUGUGUGCUUUUAUUGGUGAAGCAAGAUGGCCGACCAAUGGCUUCAUGCGGUCAGUAGGGACGCCCCUUCCAAUAGUAUAGAGUUCAGUGAUAUGUGCCCUGCCAUUGGCUGGCCACCAGUCCAGGGUGUAUCUCGCCUCUUGCCCCAAGUCAGCUGGGAUAAGCUCCAGCGUGCCCGUGACCCUAGUGGGAAUAAGCGGCAUAGAAGAUGGGUGUUUGACCGAAAAAGGAGGCAACUUAAAUGAGACUCUGGCUUGUUGUUUGCUACAAAGUACACCAGCAGCUUGGAUAACUUGAAAAUACUAACUUCAAAGUUCUAACUUGAAAGUACUUAGUGUGUACACAUAGUGGUCUGAGCACCCCAUGGCUAAAACUACUUGUAUAGGCACUCCAACGAAGACUGUGAUACAUACAUUAUAUACUGUAUGUACAGUACAUACAGUAUAUACAUAUAUGUACUGUAUAUACAUGUAUAUACUGCAUGUACUGUAUAUACAUGUACAGUAUGUUGUUUCUUCCUGUGGUGGUCCCCUGUUUUCUUUCACUAUUUGAUAUGUGCAUCAUUAUUGUUAUUAUUCUUCUUCUUAUUAUUAUUAUUAUUAUUAAAAUAUGUGCAUCAUGUGUGAUUCUCUCCAAUGUAAUCUCAUCAUAGUCCCAGUGAGGAAUUGUGUAGCUCGCAUGCUAUUGUUGUUUUGUAUGGAAACAGUAUCCGUGAUGGAGGUGCAUUAGACAUAUCCAACACACACACUCAUGCUGAGCUUUUGACUCAAAAGAGGCCAAAGGGUAAAGGUCAAACGUUGUUUCCUUUCAUCUGCAUUCAUUUAUCGCUCAUUACAUGCCUGACGUAACCACCUGACAUUUAAUCAUGUGACGUUGCGUGCACACAAACAUGAACUAGCAUGUUGCACUCAUUGAUCUCACGUGUGCCCGUGUGCGUGUGUGUGUGUGUUGUCACAUUCUGGGCACAUGGCAACAGAGGCUAAAUAUAGCCUCAGCUUCACAGCAGGAUCAUGCUUCCUCACGCUCUCUCUCUCACUUCCAACAUGGCCGCCAGUGCCGCCAUCAUGGUACUUCCUGCAGGCGUCCCCUUCCCGGCUGGAGUGCAAUGCUGGCACAGCGACGGCACACCUGAGAGUGGAAUGCUGUCAAUGACUGAUGAUUGAUUGUGUCUCUUUCAGACUUGGAUGACUUUCAGUCAUUAUUCCACUCAGCACAACUAUUUCUAUAUGUUUAGGAUUUGUCCGCAUUUUAUUCACACAUAAAUUGUUUCAUGUGAGUAACAAAUAUUGUUUGUGCAGAUUUUCCCAAAAAGGUCAUCACAUGCCUGAGAUGUGAAGUAGAGAGGGCCUCAGGAAUGAUCCCUGAGGUACAUUCUGUAUGACUUUGACUACUCUUCAGUGGUUAAUAUUGUUGUUGCUUUCAACUUAAAUAGCUGAAUUAAGCUGGGAGGCGUCCACAUUUGAAAUGGGAAUGUCACACAGUAGCCUGACGACCUUCUCCGCCUCGGGGUUAACGUUGUUAGCCAGGCGAGCGCCGCGGGCGUGUGCCAUAAUACCGACUUCCUUUGGAUGGCCUCCCGCCAUGCAUUAGUGCUACUCUGCACACGUUCACGCUCAUUAGUGGCACCGCUGUCGCUGGAGAGUGUCAAAGCACAGCCCCCUGCAGUGAUGAUGAUUUUUGUGUUUAGCUGGUGUCGUUAUUGAUCAACGACAUGUUCCUUUUUUCUUUGAAGGUCAUGGUGCACAUUGGCAUUCUUUUCUGGAGUCUUCUUAGACCUGUGAUGUCAUUGUUUUCAUUCACCCAAAAGUGUGACGUGUUGCUAGAGGGGGAGGAGCUAUGUCCCUAAGGGGGCGUGUCCGAAGCCAACAUACUUCUGUAAUGAGGAUGUGGCGUUGGCCGCUGUGAGCGACACAAUCGGGCCGUUGUGAGCCAGCUGACUCCCUCGGCAGGAAUGUGCUCUGUAGACUCUGCCCACAUUCAAACAUGCGCUUGCCUGGCGCCGGACAGCUGCGGCACUAAGGUGAAGUCACCGUGGACCACCGGGGGGGGGGGGCAAUCAGAAGUCCACGAGAUUGUGAUGCCAAGAACUUUCCAACUCUUCAGUGCCUCACCACAUCCUGUAGAGGGUGCUGUUUCUCCUCCCAAUACACAUUUUACAUUUCAUACAGAGCAGUGAUUUAGUUGCCUAUACUUAAAUGUCAACCCUUCUAACGUGCUCUGCUAUUUGUCCCACUCCAAACCUGUAGGUGGCAGUAAUGCACAUUACCACCAAGAUAGAAGCUUGUUCUUCCACGGUGGCGCCAUCUCCUGGGGCACUGCCCCACUGCCAGCAGACUUCCAUCCCUCCAUAAUGUGCAAAAUGUCAAAUAAUGUGACUUUGUUUGAAGAAAUUAACAUUUGCUUUAUUUUGAAACGGAUGAAAUUCUUUUCCACAAUACAUUUUCCUUUAGAAGUAUUUGAAAAUAUCUUUUUUUUGCUGGUUUGUAAUAUCUUUCCUAUAAUCUUAUGUCAAUAUAGUUCUCUUUCAGAAAAGAAAAAAAGGUUUGUGUCCAGCGUCUCGACAGUUGUUGCCUUGUGUCAGAGUGUCCGCCGUGAGGCAGAGAGGCUGAUGGGAAAUGCGACGCCACACUCCCGUGUCCCGGCCACAAAAUUUGGGCCCGGAACUUUCCAUCCUCCGCCAGGCUCCUGUGACAAUAUUGCUAAGUAUGUGUG